rnacentral:piRNA from 1 species
UAUGUAUGUCUUUGAUCUCAU